rnacentral:misc_RNA from 1 species
AUUUAAUUUUGAUAUAAUUUCAGAAUUCAAUUAAACUGUGCAUCGAAAAAAUUAUUCAACACUUUAAAAAUAGAUAUAUUACCUCUCACAUUUAUAUAGAUUCAUCCACAUACCUAAAAACAUAACGUGUAUUAAUGGGCCCAAUUUAUGCAUAGUACCAUAUCUCUGGACUCUGAAAGGUAGGGCUAAGAGCGGGUGGGAAGCCCCCACUUUACGAAUUGUCCUACUCAAAUCCAAUGGCUUUCGGGUUGGCCCAAUCCACGCAGAUCAAGAUCACCCUCAAAGGCUGAAACGACGUUGUUAUAUCAGUGAGA